CCUGGUGGCGAGUGGCGAACGGGUGAGUAAUACAUCGGAACGUGUCCUGUAGUGGGGGAUAGCCCGGCGAAAGCCGGAUUAAUACCGCAUACGCUCUACGGAGGAAAGGGGGGGAUCUUAGGACCUCCCGCUACAGGGGCGGCCGAUGGCAGAUUAGCUAGUUGGUGGGGUAAAGGCCUACCAAGGCGACGAUCUGUAGCUGGUCUGAGAGGACGACCAGCCACACUGGGACUGAGACACGGCCCAGACUCCUACGGGAGGCAGCAGUGGGGAAUUUUGGACAAUGGGCGAAAGCCUGAUCCAGCAAUGCCGCGUGUGUGAAGAAGGCCUUCGGGUUGUAAAGCACUUUUGUCCGGAAAGAAAACCUCCGCCCUAAUAUGGUGGGGGGAUGACGGUACCGGAAGAAUAAGCACCGGCUAACUACGUGCCAGCAGCCGCGGUAAUACGUAGGGUGCAAGCGUUAAUCGGAAUUACUGGGCGUAAAGCGUGCGCAGGCGGUCCGCUAAGACAGAUGUGAAAUCCCCGGGCUUAACCUGGGAACUGCAUUUGUGACUGGCGGGCUAGAGUAUGGCAGAGGGGGGUAGAAUUCCACGUGUAGCAGUGAAAUGCGUAGAGAUGUGGAGGAAUACCGAUGGCGAAGGCAGCCCCCUGGGCCAAUACUGACGCUCAUGCACGAAAGCGUGGGGAGCAAACAGGAUUAGAUACCCUGGUAGUCCACGCCCUAAACGAUGUCAACUAGUUGUUGGGGAUUCAUUUCCUUAGUAACGUAGCUAACGCGUGAAGUUGACCGCCUGGGGAGUACGGUCGCAAGAUUAAAACUCAAAGGAAUUGACGGGACCCGCACAAGCGGUGGAUGAUGUGGAUUAAUUCGAUGCACGCGAAAACCUUACCUACNCU
rnacentral:rRNA from 1 species